CAAGCUACAACAACAGCAUGAGAAUUUAAACCCCAGAGGGACAAAGGUUCCCUGUCACCAGGUCAUUUUUAUAAGGCCAUUUUUCAGGUCCAUCCUGAAAUGAUUUGCAAAGUCUUUAACAGAAGCACUUAGUUCCUCUGGGAUUAAACCCAACUACAUAUAAGUAAAUUGAUUAUAUUUUCCUGUAUAUUUAUCUCCCUAACUUUUUUCUCUUUGCUAUAUGGAGUUUUAAUCUUCGGAUUUUAGAUUAUAAGCUAUAUUAAUUUUUUCUUUUCUUUUUUUUGUAUUUUUGUAUUUACAGCACAUUGCAUUUUACAAAAUAAUUUAUUUCUUUUCUGUAGGCUCCACCACUCGUGGAAGAGCCUUCUGUUUCCAAAGAAGUUGAUAGAUGGCAUUUUCUUGGACAGUGAACAUUACUGUUGUCUGAAAUCAUGCUACAAGUUUGACCAGUAUACCACCUGGCACAUGCGUGCACACACUUCGCUGAAGAAAUGGAAAUGAAGCCACCAAUGACUGGAAUCUAUUGCACUGUAGAUUUUCUGUCCUGUAAAUAAAAUGGAUUUUUACAAUUUU